GGAAUGAUUUCAGAAGGAAUGGUACCAGCUCCUCUUUGUUCUUUGUACCUCUGCUAGAAUUCAGCUGUGAAUUCAUCUGGACCUGGGUCUUUUUGAUGGCCUAAAGGCAGUUCACCAAACUGAGAAAGAGAGAAAAGAAGUACUGAAUCUCCCUCACAAACUCCUCAAGGAAACAUAUUAAUCAUUCAAAGGUGAUACAAGCUUAUCAUUCCCCAGUUAAGAUGAUGACGAAGCAGCAACUCCUCCAUGUGGUUCUGAAGAUGAAAUGAUACAAUAAAAGAGUCCAUCGUCUUACAAAGGAUGACGAUUUUAGUCCAUCACACCCUAAGCCUUUUCUGAAGUG
rnacentral:lncRNA from 1 species